rnacentral:rRNA from 1 species
GUAGGGAAUAUUGCGCAAUGGACGAAAGUCUGACGCAGCGACGCCGCGUGAGUGAUGAAGGCCUUAGGGUCGUAAAGCUCUGUUGAAUGGGAAGAAAAAAAUGACGGUACCAUUCGAGGAAGGACCGGCUAACUUCGUGCCAGCAGCCGCGGUAAUACGAGGGGUCCUAGCGUUGUUCGGAAUCAUUGGGCGUAAAGGGUGUGUAGGUGGCCAUGUAAGUCAGGUGUGAAAGCCCCGGGCUCAACCCGGGAAGUGCACUUGAUACUGCGUGGCUUGAGUACCGAAGAGGGUAGUGGAAUUCCAGGUGUAGUGGUGAAAUACGUAGAUAUCUGGAGGAACACCGGUGGCGAAGGCGGCUACCUGGUCGAGUACUGACACUGAGACACGAAAGCAUGGGGAUCAAACAGGAUUAGAUACCCUGGUGUCC